rnacentral:misc_RNA from 1 species
GGAAUUGAAUAUGUUCUCAAACAGUGUCACUGGCACACGCCUUCUGAGCACACCAUCGAUGGCAGGAAUUUUUCUCUAGAGCUGCAUAUGGUUCAUGAGAGUCAAGAUGGAAAGAUUGCUGUGGUUGGGAUUUUGUACACAAUAGGAAGUCCAGACUCUUUCUUGUCAUCUCUCACAGAACAUUUAAGAUUGGUAGCUGGCCCCAAAGAAGCAGAGACAGUGGUGGGUAUUGUUAAUCCGAACGACAUCGAGACAGGCACAAAGUAUUAUAGAUACAUGGGAUCUCUUA